rnacentral:rRNA from 1 species
GACGAACGCUGGCGGCGUGCUUAACACAUGCAAGUCGAACGGAAAGGCCCUGCUUUUGUGGGGUGCUCGAGUGGCGAACGGGUGAGUAACACGUGAGUAACCUGCCCUUGACUUUGGGAUAACUUCAGGAAACUGGGGCUAAUACCGGAUAGGAGUUCCUGCUGCAUUGUGUGGGUUGGAACGUUUCGGCGGUUGGGGAUGGACUCGCGGCUUAUCAGCUUGUUGGUGGGGUAGUGGCUUACCAAGGCUUUGACGGGUAGCCGGCCUGAGAGGGUGACCGGCCACAUUGGGACUGAGAUACGGCCCAGACUCCUACGGGAGGCAGCAGUGGGGAAUAUUGCACAAUGGGCGGAAGCCUGAUGCAGCAACGCCGCGUGCGGGAUGACGGCCUUCGGGUUGUAAACCGCUUUCGCCUGUGACGAAGCGUGAGUGACGGUAAUGGGUAAAGAAGCACCGGCUAACUACGUG